rnacentral:lncRNA from 1 species
GAAUUUGACAUGUCACUAUCUCUCCAUAAUGCUAGCAUAGCUCUUUUCUUUUCUCUUUUAGGUGCUUGCUAGUAACUUUUCUUUUUCUUCAUUCUCUUUCUUCUUCAUAUUUUUCUCCAUGAAAAACUUUUUGAAUUUUCUUAUCAAAAGUGCCAAGUCCUCAUCUUUAUCACUUUCUUCUUUAUCUUCAUUUUCUUCAUCUGACUCAUCGCUUUCUUCAUAUUGUGUGGUGGAUUUGAAGGCAAUGGUUUUCAUCUUCCUUGGCUCUUCUUCUUCUUUUUGAGCCAUGUUUAGUUCAUGGGUCAUGAGUGAACCCAUCAACUCUUCAAGAGAUAGCUUUAUGAGAUCUUUUGCUUCUUGUAUGGUCGUCACUUUUGCUUUCCAUUCUCUUGGCAAAAUCUCAAUACCUUGCAAACAAGAUCAUAGUUAGAAUAAGUUUUGCCAAGGUCAUUUAAAGUAUUUAUAAUAUCAGUAAAUUUGAAAAAUAUUUUAGAAAUUGACUCAUAUUUUUUUAUUUUAAAUAUGUCAUAUUUAUGAACAAGUUGAUUUUAGACUCUUUU